UGGGGAAUAUUGCACAAUGGGCGCAAGCCUGAUGCAGCCAUGCCGCGUGUAUGAAGAAGGCCUUCGGGUUGUAAAGUACUUUCAGUCGGGAGGAAGGUGGUAAGGUUAAUAACCUUAUCAAUUGACGUUACCGACAGAAGAAGCACCGGCUAACUCCGUGCCAGCAGCCGCGGUAAUACGGAGGGUGCAAGCGUUAAUCGGAAUUACUGGGCGUAAAGCGCACGCAGGCGGUUGAUUGAGACAGAUGUGAAAUCCCCGGGCUUAACCCGGGAAUUGCAUCUGAUACUGGUCAGCUAGAGUCUUGUAGAGGGGGGUAGAAUUCCAUGUGUAGCGGUGAAAUGCGUAGAGAUGUGGAGGAAUACCGGUGGCGAAGGCGGCCCCCUGGACAAAGACUGACGCUCAGGUGCGAAAGCGUGGGGAGCAAACAGG
rnacentral:rRNA from 1 species